rnacentral:rRNA from 1 species
UACGGGGGGGGCAAGCGUUGUUCGGAAUUACUGGGCGUAAAGGGUGCGUAGGCGGCUCUCUAAGUCGGAUGUGAAAACUCUGGGCUCAACCCAGAGCCUGCAUCCGAAACUGGAGAGCUAGGGUUCUGGAGGGGAAAGCGGAAUUCCUGGUGUAGCGGUGAAAUGCGUAGAUAUCAGGAGGAACACCAGUGGCGAAGGCGACUACCUGGCCUGUUCUUGACGCUGAGGCGCGAAAGCUAGGGGAGCAAACGGG